UGGGGAAUAUUGCACAAUGGGCGCAAGCCUGAUGCAGCCAUGCCGCGUGUGUGAAGAAGGCCUUCGGGUUGUAAAGCACUUUCAGUCGUGAGGAAGGCGGUGUAGUUAAUAGCUGCAUCGUUUGACGUUAGCGACAGAAGAAGCACCGGCUAACUCCGUGCCAGCAGCCGCGGUAAUACGGAGGGUGCGAGCGUUAAUCGGAAUUACUGGGCGUAAAGCGCAUGCAGGUGGUUAGUUAAGUCAGAUGUGAAAGCCCGGGGCUCAACCUCGGAACUGCAUUUGAAACUGGCUAACUAGAGUACUGUAGAGGGGGGUAGAAUUUCAGGUGUAGCGGUGAAAUGCGUAGAGAUCUGAAGGAAUACCAGUGGCGAAGGCGGCCCCCUGGACAGAUACUGACACUCAGAUGCGAAAGCGUGGGGAGCAAACAGGAUUAGAUACCCCCGUAGUCC
rnacentral:rRNA from 1 species